CCUACGGGAGGCUGCAGUCGAGAAUCAUUCACAAUGGGGGAAACCCUGAUGGUGCGACGCCGCGUGGGGGAAUGAAGGUCUUCGGAUUGUAAACCCCUGUCAUGUGGGAGCAAAUUAAAAAGAUAGUACCACAAGAGGAAGAGACGGCUAACUCUGUGCCAGCAGCCGCGGUAAUACAGAGGUCUCAAGCGUUGUUCGGAUUUAUUGGGUUUAAAGGGUGCGUGGGCGGCGCUUCAGGUCAGCGGUGAAAUACCGGGGCUCAACCCCGGGGCUGCCGUUGAAACCGGAGUGCUAGAAUUCGGAUGCCGUCGGAGGAAUGUGUGGUGUAGCGGUGAAAUGCAUAGAUAUCACACAGAACACCGAUUGCGAAGGCAUCUGGCGGAUCGGAGAUUGACGCUGAUGCACGAAAGCGUGGGUAUCGAACAGGAUUAGAUACCCUUGUAGUC
rnacentral:rRNA from 1 species